UCUUUAAUCUUUUUUUUUUGUUUUUUUCGAUCCAUCGUUCGAUGUUUUUCUUCUUCGAUUUAGCGUAGUUUUUCUUCUCUAUUGCAAAAUCCUCACCGAGGUACACAAAUCGCACCUGAUCCAUCGUUCUAGGGUUUUUUUCUUCGAUUUAGGGUAGUUUCUCUCCUCUUUUGCAAAACCCUCAGCGAUUUCCAGGAGUUCUCUUAGGGCUCGUUUGGGUAAGUUUUGAUAUCAACUUCUGAUCCUUUCAUUUUCUUUUCUCACGAUCCCAAGAGCUCUUUAAUCUUUUUUUUUUUCGAUCCAUCGUUCGAUGUUUUUCUUCUUCGAUUUAGCGUAGUUUUUCUUCUCUAUUGCAAAAUCCUCACCGAGGUACACAAAUCGCACCUGAUCCAUCGUUCUAGGGUUUGCUUCUUCGAUUUAGGGUAGUUUCUCUCCUCUUUUGCAAAACCCUCAGCGAUUUCCAGGAGUUCUCUUAGGGCUCGUUUGGAGAGUUCAAUAUUUGGCGGGACACUAAAUCUUGUCUCUAGGCAGCCUUCCCAUCAACUUCUGGUACUUAGCCAGAACCAACUUUGGGAGCAUCAUCAACUAGCACAUCUGGCAGUUCUUGCAUUUCAUUGGUGGAGAUGAUCCAACAAACUUUCAAGGACUAAGAUAUUUUCAUGCAUCUAUAUACUGAUUGUGUUUUUUUCCUUGUUAGUAAAAUUAUACAUUAUAAGUAUGACAAAAGAGUAAAUUCAUGUGAGAUCAGUGUUAUUCUUCUACUUUCGGAUAUGGGAUGAUGUAACAGACUCUGUUGGAUUUAUGAGUUUGAUGUGGUUUAUAGCUUGCUUGGUUCCUUUGACUUUGGUGCUUUAUGCAGAUGAAUUUUGUACUCCCUUAUUUUUUGGACAAAUGGUGGGUGGAAUUGUUUUAGGUGGGCUCCUGAGGUUGCUGAGAACAGUGGAGUGUUGUGAAUUGCGUGCCUUAUUACUUAAGUGAGGUUUUACUAUCUACGAAAUUAUAGACCAAUACAAAAAAAUUUAGUAUAUUUUUUUUGCUGCUCAACACAUUAACUUCAUAAUUUUCAAUAGAUGUUUGCUUGUCAAUCUUGAUAUCAAACUUUACAUUGUGUACUCUUGAUGCUUUGACUUUAUGAUGUACAACCUUGGACUCAUGCCCUCCAAAUAUGAAGUUUAUAAUGUGUUAGCUUCUUAUGGUUCAUCAACAAUACUAUUUUCUUGCUAUAAGUGACCUAAUAAGCCCAUUUCCCGGUAUGGUACUAUUUGCAAUAAUGUUAUGGGAUGAUGUUAUAUAUGUGGCUUCUAUCACGGCUGGUUGCCCAAACAUUUUGGUAUAUUGUCAUGAUUUGUUUUCAUUUGAUAUUUUGCCUUGUUAAGGCAGUUUGUUCUAUUAUAUAAUGUUCCUUUGCAUUAUAAAUUCUGAUCGAUUUCUGCCUAGGUUACUAUUGUCUUUUUAAUGAAUUUUGAUGCUGUAUUUGACAUGUAUCAUUUGUUUUAUGCGCACUUUGCAGCUAUUUUUACAUUUGUUCCCCUUCAUUAGUUGGCAGAUGCCGCAGAUGUGAAUGAAUAUGAAAAUUAGAAUUGUAUGGUUGACAUAGGUAGCGUUCGUGCCGCAAUAUGGACAAAUGAUGAUGAAAAAAAAAUUAUUCUACUUGUGGAAGAAGAGGUUAUCAAAGGGAACAGGCCCAAAUGAAGCCUGCAUGGCAUCGUUUCUGCGAAGCACUUCAUGCACAAACCAGGAAGAACUGUGAUGACAGACAAUUGAGAAAUAAGUUCAACCAAUUAGGGACUUGACAGAAGGAAUUUGCUAAUUUGAUAAAGGAGAAGGGAAUUGGUUGGAACUCAAGGACAGGCAUUGUUACUGCAACUGAUGAGGUCUGGCAGUGCUUAUACAAGUGCAGAAGUUUGCAAAAAGGUUUCACAAGAAAGGGCGUCUGCUAUUUAAUAAAUUGUCUGAUUUACGGGGGCAUAGUAACUGGCUCGUUCAAGCAUCCUUCAGGAAGGCAUCCAGAAAUGGUGAAAAGCUGAAUGUGGAUACUUCUUUCGUUGAGCAUAUAUUGAUGGUCACUUAAUCAAUACUUAGAAUGCCUUCAACAAACAAUACAAGGGUAGGGUCCAAGCUGGAGGGGGAAUGAUGAAUUCUUCCCCAUCAUUUGGGUUCAAGUCUGUGGAACCAGCAGCUCUCUAGGUUGUUGUGAGAGAGAGCAUGCAGUGCUAAAUGCACUUAAGGCAUAGAUGGAGCAGCCUAUGCUAAGGCAAUUGGGAAGUUUCAUGAUAACAAGCUAUGGAUGGGGCUAUUUUUGGAGAUGCCAAACGAUAGAAAACAGGAUUGGGUGCUGCAUAUUAAAUGAUGGUGAGUUUGUGGUUGUAUUUGUUUAGCCUUUGGUCUUGGUUUGUAAUGUGUCACCUAUUUCAGACAUGAUUUUUGUUGGUGGAUUAUGACGUGCUAGUCUUUCAGAGUAUGAGCUGUGGAUCAUGACAUCUUUAGAUGUUUGAACCUGUUUUUCAUGAAUCAUGACAUGUUGAUCCAUGGCUUACGAAA